GACGAACGCUGGCGGCGUGCUUAACACAUGCAAGUCGAACGGAAAGGCCCUGCUUUUGUGGGGUGCUCGAGUGGCGAACGGGUGAGUAACACGUGAGUAACCUGCCCUUGACUUUGGGAUAACUUCAGGAAACUGGGGCUAAUACCGGAUAGGAGCUCCUGCUGCAUGGUGGGGGUUGGAAAGUUUCGGCGGUUGGGGAUGGACUCGCGGCUUAUCAGCUUGUUGGUGGGGUAGUGGCUUACCAAGGCUUUGACGGGUAGCCGGCCUGGGAGGGUGACCGGCCACAUUGGGACGGAGAUACGGCCCAGACUCGAACGGGAGGCAGCAGUGGGGAAUAUUACACAGUGGGCGGAAGCCUGAUGCGGCAACGCCGCGUGCGGGAUGACGGCCUGCGGGUUGUAAACCGCUUUCGCCUGUGACGAAGCGUGAGUGACGGUAAUGGGUAAAGAAGCACCGGCUAACUACGUG
rnacentral:rRNA from 1 species